rnacentral:rRNA from 1 species
GAUGAACGCUGGCGGCAUGCCUAACACAUGCAAGUCGAUCGGUAAGGCUCUUCGGAGUACACGAGAGGCGGACGGCUGAGUAACGCGUAGGAACACACCCUGCAGUGAGGGAUAAGACACCGAAAGGUGUUCUAAUACCGCAUACGGUCUUCGGAUUAAAGCAUUUAUGCGCUGAAGGAGUGGCCUGCGUCAUAUUAGAUAGUUGGUGAGGUAAUGGCUCACCAAGUCGAUGAUGUGUAGCUGGUCUGAGAGGAUGAUCAGCCAGACUGGAACUGAGACACGGUCCAGACUCCUACGGGAGGCAGCAGUGAGGAAUAUUUCACAAUGAGCGAAAGCUUGAUGGAGCAAUGCCGCGUGCAGGAUGAAGGCCCUCGGGUUGUAAACUGCUUUUAAAAGAGAAGAUUAUGACGGUAACUUAUGAAUAAGGGACGGCUAACUACGUG